GAAGAGCUGCUCAUAAUUGGCGGUAAGCUCAGUUUGACCUCAAAAGAGCAUUGAACAUUAACCUAACAUUAGGAACAACUAUUAUAGAUUAAUCUCAAGUUCGAGCAGGUAUAAGAAUAAACGCAAACAAAGAAAUGAACAAUGAUAAAAUGAACAAUGAUAUCAAACCUUGAACAAGGACGUUUUGUUUAAUCAUAUUUUCUCUCUUAUGAUUUAUCCAAUUUGUCAUUGUAGCACCUUUUGACCCUGCAGGUGAAAAGUUUGGAGGGUACAAA
rnacentral:misc_RNA from 1 species